rnacentral:ncRNA from 1 species
CUAGGCUGCGUUCGUCGCUGAAAAAACAGCGAUCGGGUUUAGCAGCCUGACGA